CCGAAGCGUAACGACGUCUGCCUCAUCGCCAUCGACAUUCCCCAACCGCCGUUUCAAACAGGCGAGGCGCGUCGUCGUAGCGGUUCGGUAGGAUAUGACAUGUUACACGGAAGGGUCUUUGGAACCUCAGCAUCAUGCGUAUUUUGUACUGGAAUCUCGGGAGCAUCGAGGCAGUACUGGCCAGUACGUCGAACAACUACGUCGUGCAUAACAACGAUUGCCGUGGUGUGCGAGAGCUAGCGUUCCUUUGUUCUCCGGCUUUGCAGUUAAGAGUCUGGUGCGUAUCACUGACGAACUCAUGCGAACGGCGGAACUGUUAUCCACACACAACCAUGGAUAGUCUCACACAUGUGUAAAGUUACUGGUGUCUCUACAACACUGAAGAGCCAGGCAUAAACCGGAAGACGUCGCUUGGGUCUGCCAGUGAUUAGGCUGCUUCCGCAUGUAACCAUCUAUACUGCAAGAGAAACUGCGGGAUGACGUUUGCGAAGUGGCGUAGCAAUCACGUGAUUAUUAUUAUUAUGACCAUUAUUGUCUUAUUAGGCAUCUUAUCCGUGUCACCCUAUAUUGUUAAUAAUUAGCCUAUUUAUGUUGUAAUAUCAUAUUUUGUACUAUUAGAAAGAGCGUUUCUUACAGUGCAUGUAACAUCACUGUACUUGGUUUGUGUUCAAUAAACAAGAGUUCGUUGGUACGA